GAACAUCAUCUAGUGGUGUACCUCAACUCCAAGAAGACGGUCGCCGAGGGCCGCCGCAUAGCCGCCGGCAAGGCCUGCCCCGACCCUACCUGCAUCGAGAUCGCCGACUGCUGCUCCUAUCUCAAGAUCCCUCACGCCAUCGAGUUGGAUAAGACGUACCCUCGAGAUUUCUUCCAGGUGGGGAGGGUCAGGGUGCAGCUCAAGAAGGAUGAUGGCUCCCUGGUCAAUCCUGCGAUUAAAACAAGUGCUGAAUUACUGAUCUAAUCCUGUGCUACAGUACCCCGCAAAGUACUGUAACACUAGAAUCCUCAAAUUUGCAGAUCCUGUUGGAGAGGGCCUUACGCCCUUGCAAUCGCCCGCUUGAUUCUGCCAUCUCCCAUUCGAUUCCACCGUCGCUCGCUAGGGCUGCUGCGGAUGGGACCGGAGGGGCUGCUGCGGAUGGAAGCGGAGGUGCGGGAGGAUGCUGUGGACUGGAGGCGAUGGGAGGCAGGCAGCAGCUGCUGCUGCUGAGAGGCAAAGGUGCUGCGCAUGAGAGUGGAUGGGCGGCGGCUGCUAUUUGCGAAUGGGUGCUGCUGUUAGGGCACGGAGGGAAGGGGCUUUUAUAGGUUGCUAGGCCUUGUAUUGGGCUUUCGAUUGGCUAUUGGACUGUAACUAACCGUGGUAAAGGCCCAUGUGUAUUCAUGGUUUUUCCUUUCCUUGUUUGAUGGAUAUUAGUGUAUAUUAAAGUAGCUGGGGUAUCUGCCCAGCCGAUGUGGCCACGAUAGCGGAAAUGUUUGUGUCCAUCUGAUUUCCGAUCAUGCGGCUGCGCUGUGAUUACAUCCAGCUCCGGGAAUAUUCCCUGCCUCCCCAGCUGGCGCUGCGCGGGCGAUGAACCGGGAAGGUUCCCGUCGCGCCCACGCGUCUCUUCCCCCGGGUUCGGCGCGCUGUCCACCGUGGGCCCCGCAGUAAUGUCUGAGCGUGCUUGAGGUAAGGGCGGAGGAAAAGAGGAGGAGGAACGUCUGUGCUCAUUCCACUUCUUCCGCCUGCGUCGUCUCUGAAUGCCAAGGACCAGCUACAGGGCACUCUCUUGAACAUUCCAUCAGUGUCCUGGUUUCGCUUCGCUCCCCCCCUCCUCCAGCUUAUUGAGUGCUUUCGUCACUCGUGGCAUUGUCCAAACGGCGACAGGUAGCCUCUGGGGUCUACAUCAGCAUUUGGCUUAUUGAGCACUUCCCUAGCUUGUGGCAUUGUGCAAUCAGCGAAAAAGUGGCCUGCGGGGUCUACAUCACCAUUUCGGAAAUAUUGAGUGCUUUCCUGGCUCGUGUCAUUGCUUAAUCAGUGAGGGGUUUCUUGUGCAGUUUACAUCACCUCUUCAACCAACUCGGCCCAUGGCCUGCCGGCUCCGUUUAUCUCCAGAGAGGGCUCUGCCCACCCCGUGCUCUCUCUGGAGAGUGCGGCGGCGGCUUCUGUUGGGGGCUUCCGAAUCUCCUGGGCGACGCUUCUAUCCGAGGCGUGCGAGAUGAGGAGAGAGGGAGUUGAUUGAGGCCGGUUUUUGAGGGAGAGCAGCGCUCAUCCGAGAAUGGGAGCCAGGUGAGUCUCUCAUAUAAGAUUGGGGCUGAUUUCCUCUCAAAACUAUGGGGGAAAAGAGGUAGAAAGGAAAAGAAGGUAGUGACUUGCAUCUCUCUGUUCUUGGGUUGGCUGUUGCUUGCUGGACCGAGUGCUUCGCGCUCGGUGGUGACUGCUGACGGUGCUCCUCCUGUUGGAAUCCGGAGCUGCAUCGCUUAGGCUCGCCAGCUCGUGCCGAUUGCAGAGCUGUUGGCUUUGUAUCUCCGAUCUCCUUCACGUCGCCGGCAACGGCGGGUGCUAGGUUUUCUGGGACAGCGGCUUACGAGUCGUGCCUAGCCUCCCUUCUUUUCGAUUUUGGUCGAAUUUCACUGUGAGUAUCCUCUCCUCCUCCUUCUGGUCAGCACUAUGCUCUGUGAUGAUUAUGAAUGAUCUAAGAUUGGGCUAUUAGCUGAGUACAAUAGUUUUUAGACUUGUGCUGCACUGGACUUUUGAGUUGUUCGGUACUGAAUGUGAUCCUGUUCUGAAUACCUAUGGUAUUCAGAUUGUGCACUUUCUGUUCAGUGACCGUGGUCUCUUUUGCUUCAGUUCUGAACCUGUAAUUACAUAUGUUCAGAGAAGGCUUAUGUUACUUUACUGAAUAUUUGGUCAUUGUAUAUAUACAUGUUUAAUUUCUGUAUACAUGUGAGAACAGCAGUGACAUAGAAAAUUCGGUUUACAGACCCUCUGUUACUCUAAUCUCACUGUCCAGUGCUUGAAAUUGAUUAGUUGUCAAAGCUCUAAUUACUACUUGAGAUCUUAAUAAUAGCCCAAUCAUUGAUGAGAUCAAUAGAACAAUUAGGGAGCAAGACUUCUAAGUCUUGGGGCCAAUUGUUUGACUUAAAUCUGAGAGCAACAAAUUCUUCCUUUACAUAUGUGCUGUCAUACUUUGGAGUACUUGCUCAUAUGCUAUAUUCUGAAAUCCAGAUGUUUAAGAUGCACAUGAUAGGUAUUUCUACUGUCUUUUUUACAGAUGUUCAUUUGUUCUACCAUGUGUAUAGAUAGCUCUCUUUCCUGUUAUUGCAAUUAUAUGAUUGGAAUAAUAUACAUGCUCAACUUAUGGCAUAUAUUUCAACAAUUUCCACUUGAGUACAUCUCUGUUAGAGUUUGUUGUAUCUUGAUCGCUUCCUUCUAUUGUGCAAACACUUUGUUAUAUGUUACUCUAUGGUUUAGUGAAUGUCAACUACAUGAUCAUAAAUAAAUAUGGACUAAUGUUCCUAUUAUUGUAAAAAACAAACACUCGCUAUUACGCUUCCUUCUAUUGUGGAAACACUUUGUUACAUGUUACUCUAUGGUUUAGUGAAUGUCAACUACAUGAUCAUAAAUAAAUAUGGACUACUGUUCCUAUUAUUGUAAAAAACUAACACUCGCUAUUAUUUACUCACUUCCCUCAUGUCUACUUCAAUGACAUCAUGGGCUCUUUCCAUUGUUACUAAGUUUCCCAUUAUUAUUGAUAAAACUUUUCUUAUUCACCUCCCCUCCCCUCCGCCCUCGUUCGACAAUGACCA